ACUGUAUCGUAUGCCCUUAAUACUGAUUUGGUUCCUUGGAACAUUAUUGAAAACAAAAGUAUGUUCUUAUCUAUCAUGUAAUGCUUGAUGUCAUAAAUCAUGUAAUGCUUGAUGUCAUAAACGUUUAACUGAAAUUGUCCAAAUAAGCAGUGAUAUUUUUCCUUUCUUUCAUAAAUCAGGCCAUUUAAUAGUUUAAUUGUUUGGUUUUUUUUUACAUUUUGCCAUAUGGUUGCCUUUUAUAGCUUACUGUACGGUAUGGAUUUUUGACCAAUUAGUGCAAACUCUUGCUUCAUAUGAAGUUAUGCAGAAUGAUGUCACCUUGGCUAUCAUACCA
rnacentral:lncRNA from 1 species